rnacentral:tRNA from 1 species
UGAAUUGAAGUCAAAAAGAGACAAAUUAUUGUUAAUAAUUUAAAUGAUUACUAAUCCAAUUCAA